AAGGGAUUAGUUAAAUUAUAAUAUAAGAUUGUCAGUCUUACGUUACUAGUGGAACUAGUAUUUCUUA
rnacentral:tRNA from 1 species